CCUACGGGUGGCAGCAGUGAGGAAUAUUGGUCAAUGGCCGUAAGGCUGAACCAGCCAAGCAGCGUGAGGGAAGACUGCCCUAUGGGUGGUAAACCUCUUUUAUGCGGGGACAAAGGUGUCCACGUGUGGAUGUUUGCAGGUACCGCACGAAUAAGGACCGGCUAAUUCCGUGCCAGCAGCCGCGGUAAUACGGAAGGUGCGGGCGUUAUCCGGAUUUAUUGGGGUUAAAGGGCGCGUAGGCCGGUCGGUAAGCGUACCGUGAAAUUUUGUGGCUCAACCAUGGGAGUGCGGUGGCAACUGGAGACCUUGAGUGCGCGGGAGGCAGGCGGAAUUCGUGGUGUAGCGGUGAAAUGCUUAGAUAUCGCGAAGAACGUCGAUGGCGAAGGCAGCUGGCGGGAGCGUUACUGACGCUGAGGCGCGAAAGCGGGGGUAUCGAACAGGAUUAGAUACCUGUGUAGUC
rnacentral:rRNA from 1 species